CACAUAGUAAAUGCUCAUUUCAUUGUAUGCAAGAGAUGUGGCAUGUUUCAUUAUGUGGUGUUGUUUUGUUAUAAACUUGUCCUUUUGUGUUGUUCACAGACUGGAAAGUAUGCAUAUUUAUCUUCCAAGGAGACCAGUAACUAGUUUGUGUCACCUUGCAGAGGGGGUGCAAUGAAGAUAAGAUUGAGGAUUUCCAAGUACAAGAUGUUAGGAAGGAGCCUUGCGAGAGAAGGAGGAGCAGCGUUGAGCCUGUUCAACCAGUUAUGAAACAUUUUAGGAUGAAGUGACAUCAACACAAAGAUCUGAGAGCAGUGUGGCAUGGUCGUUACCAAAUGAUUAUGGAUUGGAAUUGGAAUGUGCUGAUUUUCUCGAGCAUCAACUAGAGGUGGCAAGACAACAUGUACAUGAUUCUCAACAUGCAAUCAAGAAGUUGAGACUGGAGUUGCAGGUAUUGGAGAUUUUGCAGGUAACCACAAAGGAAUUGGAGAUUUUGCAGACUAAAAUUUCUAUUAUCACUAGUAAAAAAAGACACAUCCGUGACAUUUUGGGCCGAACAAUUUUUUUCUGUCAUACAUAUGACACUUCUA